rnacentral:rRNA from 1 species
UGGGGAAUAUUGGACAAUGGGCGCAAGCCUGAUCCAGCCAUGCCGCGUGAGUGAUGAAGGCCUUAGGGUUGUAAAGCUCUUUCGCCGGUGAAGAUAAUGACGGUAACCGGAGCAGAAGCCCCGGCUAACUUCGUGCCAGCAGCCGCGGUAAUACGAAGGGUGCAAGCGUUAAUCGGAAUUACUGGGCGUAAAGCGUGCGCAGGCGGUUCGGAAAGAAAGAUGUGAAAUCCCAGGGCUCAACCUUGGAACUGCAUUUUUAACUCCCGACCGAGAGUGUGUCAGAGGACGGUGUAAUUCCACGUGUGGCAGUGAAAUGCGUAGAUAUGUGGAGGAACACCGAUGGCGAAGGCAGCCCCCUGGGAUAACACUGACGCUCAUGCACGAAAGCGUGGGGAGCAAACA